rnacentral:rRNA from 2 species
UACAGAGGUCUCAAGCGUUGUUCGGAUUCAUUGGGCGUAAAGGGUGCGUAGGUGGCGAGGCAAGUCGGAUGUGAAAUCCCGGGGCUCAACCCCGGAACUGCAUUCGAUACUGCCCUGCUCGAGUACUGGAGAGGAGAUCGGAAUUUACGGUGUAGCAGUGAAAUGCGUAGAUAUCGUAAGGAAGACCAGUGGCGAAGGCGGAUCUCUGGACAGUUACUGACACUGAGGCACGAAGGCCAGGGGAGCAAACGGG